AUGCCAACUUUUAGCGCACGGCUCUCUCCCAAGAGCCAUUUCCCUAGACCGAAUAUAGGAAUCGUAUUCGGUCUUUUUUUAUUCAUCUUUUAAAAUCAACU
rnacentral:sRNA from 1 species